rnacentral:rRNA from 1 species
UACGUAGGUGGCAAGCGUUGUCCGGAAUUAUUGGGCGUAAAGAGCUCGUAGGCGGUUUGUCGCGUCUGCUGUGAAAACUGGAGGCUCAACCUCCAGCCUGCAGUGGGUACGGGCAGACUAGAGUGCGGUAGGGGAGAUUGGAAUUCCUGGUGUAGCGGUGGAAUGCGCAGAUAUCAGGAGGAACACCGAUGGCGAAGGCAGAUCUCUGGGCCGUAACUGACGCUGAGGAGCGAAAGCGUGGGGAGCGAACAGG